UACGUAGGGGGCAAGCGUUGUCCGGAUUUAUUGGGCGUAAAGAGCUCGUAGGCGGUUCCGUAAGUCAGGUGUGAAAAAUCUGGGCUCAACCCAGUGGAGCACCUGAUACUGCGGUGACUCGAGUCCGGUAGGGGAGUGUGGAAUUCCUGGUGUAGCGGUGAAAUGCGCAGAUAUCAGGAGGAACACCAAUAGCGAAGGCAGCUCGCUGGGACGUUACUGACACUGAGGCGCGAAAGCGUGGGGAGCGAACAGG
rnacentral:rRNA from 1 species